CUCUGCCCCUGGCCACAUUGUUGGCCCUGGGAUAACAUAACAAGCAGUUGCUUGUCAUAUAAAACCUUUCACAUAUACAUACUAAUCAGAGCUGUCCUAUUGCUUUUAUAGAGAUCUCACUCUGCAAUAUUUACAAGGAUUCAGCUCCCCACAUCUAAAACGAGCAUGUAGUUUGGCGGUUUUUAAACUCACGUUGAGGCCACUCUCAGAGGAGCAGCCACAGCAGUACAGGACAGGGUGCCAGGGGUAACCCAUUGUUGGGUCCUACAGAAAACAAACAACAGGGAUAGGGCACAGGGUGGUGGUUGGCCCCACCCCAGGCACCAUGCAUGGACAGACCAGAGUUACUACUGCUGUUCGUGUGGGGAGAGCUAGAGAUCACCCUGCCAUGGACAAGGAGAAGAAGAAGCCGGACAGCCAUUGUUCUGAAGUGAUGUUUGUUCUACGUUGUUGUAUCUUUAUGAUGGUACACUUUUAGUGCUACAGUAUCUAGAACCUGAAAGGGUUAUUUGGCUGUUACCACAGGAGAACCCUUUGAAUAAUAAGUUUAGUUCCAAGUAGAUCCAUUUUGAGUUUCAUGUAGAACCCUUAACACAGACUGUUCUACAUGGAACCAAAAAGGGUUCUACCCGGAACCAAAAAGGGUUCUACCAGGAACCAAAAAGGGUUAUCCUAUGGGGACAGCCGAAGAACCCUUUUGGAACCCUUUUUCAAAGAGUGAAAAUAGCCUACCUCUCCAGAUCUUCUAGUUUUCUCAGCAGGCGGUUGUUCUCAUUGAAAAGUUGUGCUCUCUGCUGAUUAAAACUCUCCUGGCUGUCCAACAGAGCCAGCUUAUCUCGCCUAAAGAGGCACACAACACACUCACACCCUAACUCCGUGUAGCAUGUCGUUGUGUGUUCUGGACUCACUGUAGCUUGUCAUUCUGUGUUCUAGAUGGGUUCUAGACUGUUGCCAUAGUAACAGGUUCUAGACUAACUGUAGCUUGUGGCUCUAUGUUAUAUGUUCUAAACUCACUAUAGCUUGGUGUUCUAUGUUCUAAAUUCACUGUUGCUUGACAUUCUAUUUUCUGUGUUCUAGAUGCACUGUAGAUGCACUGUCGUUCUACACUGAGUGCACAAAACAUUAACAAUACCUGUUCUUUCCAUGACAUGCAGUGCAUUCGGAAAGUAUUCAGACCCCUUGACUUUUUCCACAUUUUGCUACGUUACAGCCUUAUUCUAAAAUGGAUUAAAUAAAAUUAAAUAAAAAUUCCUCAACCAUAUACACACACACAAUACCCCAUAAUGACAAAGUGUAAACAUGUUUUUGGAAAUGUCUUAAAAUGUAUUAAAAAUAAAAAAACAGAUACCUUA
ensembl:lncRNA